GCUCGGUCGAUGUCGAUCACCAAGGAACAGCACUUGAAAAGAUAACCGUUGCUGCUACCUUACAUCCACAGGCAGUAAAAUUAUUCUUCUUCAGAAAAUUGGAAAGCUGCUGGAGUAAUCUAGUUUUCAUCCUCACUUUAUUUCGUGCCAGCUAGUGAAAGGCGCGACGAAUUCCAGUUGAGCUGCUGUUUAGCAAGCAAUCCAGCUAAGCCGUUCCGUUCAUUCAUUUGAACAGGAAUCUAAUGGCUGUCACUAGGUGGCUAAAAUGAUGUUCACCACCAGUCCACCAGGGAGCGCGAGUGUCUUGAGGGAAAAAAUUUGGCCAUUUUGUUUCAAUAUGCAGCCGAGAUGGGUUGUCUUGUCGGUCGUGACGUUUCUCAAUAUGGAAAUGUAAAGGUGAUUUAGCAAGUAAAAACCACUUUGCUGAACUUGUGUCCUAUACAUUUUGCCCGAAAUGUCGUGCCUCGUGUUGGCCUCGUGACUGCGACUACCUGUUCCCAGGCGAACGUCUCAUCCCAUGCUACAGCAAAAGUAUAACAACCACAUUUCUUUUAUGCUGUGGUUACCUUCUUGCGGCCAGGUGGUGAAGGGUGUGGUGGAGACAAAUUUCUCUGUUGUAUGCAGCAUGUGAUUCCGAUGUUGUCCAGAGGUAGCUGUGCUUGUGUCUAGCGGCCUAUUCCCAGGUGUAUGUCUCAUCCCAUGCUACAGCAAAAGUAUAACAACCACACUUCUUUUUACGCUGUGGUCACCUUCUUGCAGCCAGAUGGUGAAAGGUGUUGUCAAGAAAAAUUGCCCCGUUGUAUGCUGCAUGUGGUUCCAGUGUUAUCCAGAAGUUGCUGUGCUGGUGUUUUGCUGAAGUAGCUGUGGCAGAGAUAUCUUGGUUGCUGACUUGGACAAUUUUAACUGUUUUCAUUUGUGUUUUUUGCUCUGCCAAUGAUAUCCCGUCUUGCUGACUUGAAAUAUUUUAAUCUGUUCUCAUUUGUGUUUUUUGCUCUGCCAGUGAGUUGCUGAUUUGAAAUUGUUUCAUUCAUAUGUCGUCUGCGUUUUUACUUGUGCAGUAUACGAUUGAGGCAACCUGAUCAAUAUCAGGUUUGACACAGUCGAGAACUGCUAGAUAAAACAAGCUUUCUGCGCCAAACAAAUAAUAACUUGCAUAUAACUUGCAUCAUGUUAUUAUCGCGGUAGAGAAAGCGACAGGCCCCCCCCCCUGGGGGCCACAGGAAAAAUAAAUAAUGUAAAUGUUUCAAAAAAAAUUUUUGUAUGCAAUAAAAUAUUCGAAUAAAAUAAAAUAAAUUUUGUUGCAAUAAACAAUUUGUAUAAAA